rnacentral:rRNA from 1 species
CACGUAGGGUGCGAGUCGUUGUCCGGAAUUAUUGGGCGUAAAGAGCUCGUAGGCGGCUUGUCGCGUCGUCCGUGAAAACUUGGGGCUCAACCCCAAGCUUGCGGUCGAUACGGGCAGGCUAGAGUUCGGUAGGGGAGACUGGAAUUCCUGGUGUAGCGGUGAAAUGCGCAGAUAUCAGGAGGAACACCGGUGGCGAAGGCGGGUCUCUGGGCCGAUACUGACGCUGAGGAGCGAAAGCGUGGGGAGCGAACAGG